UGGGGAAUAUUGGGCAAUGGGCGCAAGCCUGACCCAGCAACGCCGCGUGAAGGAAGAAGGCUUUCGGGUUGUAAACUUCUUUUGUCAGGGACGAGUAGAAGACGGUACCUGACGAAUAAGCCACGGCUAACUACGUGCCAGCAGCCGCGGUAAUACGUAGGUGGCAAGCGUUGUCCGGAUUUACUGGGUGUAAAGGGCGUGUAGCCGGGAGGGCAAGUCAGAUGUGAAAUCCACGGGCUCAACUCGUGAACUGCAUUUGAAACUACUCUUCUUGAGUAUCGGAGAGGCAAUCGGAAUUCCUAGUGUAGCGGUGAAAUGCGUAGAUAUUAGGAGGAACACCAGUGGCGAAGGCGGAUUGCUGGACGACAACUGACGGUGAGACGCGAAAGCGUGGGGAGCAAACAGG
rnacentral:rRNA from 1 species